UUAAUUUUUGCGAAAUUGUUAAGAACGCCUUUCCAAAACUACCCUUUUUUAACUAUGCCCUCUCAUUUAUACUAUCUUUUAAUUUUUAAUAACUAUUUUACCCCUAUUUGAAAAUAU
rnacentral:sRNA from 1 species